rnacentral:rRNA from 1 species
UACAGAGGGGGCAAGCGUUGUUCGGAAUUACUGGGCGUAAAGGGCGCGUAGGCGGCCUGUUAAGUCGGACGUGAAAUCCCCGGGCUCAACCCGGGAACUGCGUCCGAUACUGGCAGGCUUGAAUCCGGGAGAGGGAUGUGGAAUUCCAGGUGUAGCGGUGAAAUGCGUAGAUAUCUGGAGGAACACCGGUGGCGAAGGCGGCAUCCUGGACCGGUAUUGACGCUGAGGCGCGAAAGCCAGGGGAGCAAAGCGGG